rnacentral:rRNA from 1 species
UGGGGAAUUUUGGACAAUGGGCGAAAGCCUGAUCCAGCCAUGCCGCGUGAGUGAAGAAGGCCUUCGGGUUGUAAAGCUCUUUUAGUCGGAAAGAAAGAGUUGCAAUGAAUAAUUGUGAUUUAUGACGGUACCGACAGAAAAAGCACCGGCUAACUACGUGCCAGCAGCCGCGGUAAUACGUAGGGUGCGAGCGUUAAUCGGAAUUACUGGGCGUAAAGGGUGCGCAGGCGGUCUUGCAAGUCGGAUGUGAAAGCCCCGGGCUUAACCUGGGAAUUGCGUUUGAAACUACAAGGCUAGAGUGCAGCAGAGGGGAGUGGAAUUCCAUGUGUAGCAGUGAAAUGCGUAGAGAUGUGGAAGAACACCGAUGGCGAAGGCAGCUCCCUGGGUUGACACUGACGCUCAUGCACGAAAGCGUGGGGAGCAAACA